UUACAUACUGUCAGUAUUGUAUUUUGUUUUCUAGUCGGCCAUUGCAGGAUGGAGAUAUCAUCAAUAUAGAUGUCACAGUUUAUCUAGAAGGUUACCACGGAGACACCUCAGAAACAUUUCUGAUUGGCUCAGUGAAUGAACAGGGCAGGAAGUUAGUGGAUGUGGCUCGACAGUGCAGAGAUCAGGCCAUUGCCGCCUGUGGACCAGGUCAACCUCUGUGCGUCAUUGGCAACACUAUCAGAAUCGUAGACUCUGCCAGGGUGGAUUCAGCUCCCCACAGAGACACGAAAAGAUCCGCAGGAGCCUUUUCACAGAGAGAGGACAUACUUAAUCACUCACAUACAGUACAGAAACAUCUUUAACAACAUCCUAUUGAAUUUCCACUUCUAAUGCAAAGACUUAAAU